rnacentral:rRNA from 1 species
GGCGGCGUGGAUUUAGGCAUGCAAGUCGAACGGUAUGGACCUUUCGGGGUUCAGAGAGUGGCGAACGGGUGAGUAACACGUAGGUAAUCUACCUCAAGACGGGGACAACCCGGGAAACUUGGGCUAAUACCGGAUGUGUGUAGUGGCUAUUUUCUGAUUAUCAUUAUUUACGUAAGUGAGUAAUAAUUAAGAAGGGAAAGUGGUUAUUACAUAAAAGGUGGCGUAAGCUGCCGCUUGGGGAUGAGCCUGCGUCCUAUUAGUUAGUUGGUGAGGUAACGGCUUACCAAGGCGAUGAUAGGUAGGCGGCCUUAACGGGUGGUCGCCCACACUGGGAUUGAGAUACGGCCCAGACUCCUACGGGAGGCAGCAGUCGAGAAUAGUCUACAAUGGACGGAAGUCUGAUAGUGCGACGCCGCGUGAACGAAGAAUCCCUUCGGGGUGUAAAGUUCUUUUAUACGUGAGCAGUGUCCUUUAUAUUAAUAGUAUAAGGGGAGAGAUAUUAGCGUAUGAAUAAGCAACGGCUAACUCCGUG